CCGCCGGCCGGCCGGGCCCCACACCUGCCGGGCCCGGGAAGGGCCAGCCCUGGGCAGAGGUGUUGCCCGACGCGGCGGCUCAGCGCCCCGCUCAUUGGCCGAGGAUCAGGCCCUCCCCCUCCUCGGCGGCGUCCUGACCAAACCCGGAGGGGAUCCUCCCGAGGCCCUUCACCCCGAGGAGCCAGUCCUGCAGCUGCCCUGACUCCUGGGGCUGGCGGCUGAGGCCCAGAGCCUGGGCAGGAGGCCAGGGGCAGAAAGGGAGGCCGCAGCCGGGGCCGGUGGCCUGAGGAGUGCGGGCCGGAGGCCUUCCCUAGGAGGAUUCCGCUGACAGGAAUGGGAGCCAUGAAAGAGAAGAAAAUGGUCAAGAAAGGAAGCUUGCAUGGUAAGGUCAAAGUUCACAGUUCUGCCUAGAGCUGACCAGCCCUCUGAUAACUUUUUUUUUUCCUUAUAGGAGAGGGUGGCUCCUAUUUUUAUCUCCUGUCUUCUUUUAGAAGAAUCUCCUCAUGCCCUCUCAGCCAGUUAAACAUACAAUUAAGAUCAUACAAUGGAUCUCAAAUGGGUCAGGUUGCCUUUCAGGGCCAUUUGGCAGAAUGUCUGGAGACAUUUUGGUUAUCACACUGGGAGGGUAGGUGCUGCUGACAUCCAGUAGGUAGAGACCGAGGAUGCUGCUACAAUGCACAAGAGAGUCACCCACUGCAAAGAAUGAUCCUGCUUAAAAUGUCAAUAGUGUGGAAAUCGAAGUAACAGCAGUAGACCAACUGUGCAAAUGCAGCUUCAGGGCAAGUCUCAGUCUCCUUUCCCACCAGGCUGCUGGCCCUAAAUUCCUCCUCUGCAGAAAUUCUGGAGACAUGACUGAUGCUUUAUCAGAGACAUGGUACCCUCUGAACUCAUCUCACCCUAGGCUAGUCACAAGGUGUUAUCAACAUACUACUAAAUUAUUAAGGAUGACUAACCAGGCUUACUAGUGACUGGGGAACAGCUCCUAUCUCGCCAUAGCAGGGAGAAUCACCAUCCAUGUUCUCUCCCCUCUCCUUCCCAGCCACAUCUCUGCAGGGGGAGGCUGAUGGAGAAACUCCUUUAAGGAGAGUGCCAGCUCUGGCACUAACAUGCUUUGUGACCUUGAACAAGUCUCCCUGUUCCGUGCCUCAGUUUCUUCAUUAUACAUAAUGAGGGGACCAGCUCAUCUCUACAGAUCUUUCCAGCUCUGACAUCUGAUUCUUUAGUUCUACACCUCCACCAAGCAGAUUGAAAUGCUUAUUUCUGAUCCAGCCCCCAAACAAGUGAUUUAGGGUACCAAGAAGGUCGUGGGCCAGGCACAACUUCAGCUGUUUUGUCUUUGGAUGGGUCCUAGUUGUCUCCUCAGUGAGGACUGAGAACAGCUGGAGCAGCUAGUAGUUAAGACCAACCUCCCCAUCCCCUGUCCUUGGUGCCAAGAGCUGCUGCUAGGCGGUGUCCCCAUCUGAUAGCCAAUAUGGUUGAGGAGGGCCACAAGACAAGGUCCCAAGAGCAUCUCAAACUGAGGAUUCAUUCAGCUCCUCAGCAGAUACUAAGAUGUUGGAGCUUUGGCUGCCCCUGGCCUUUCUGGAAGUUGUGUUACAAGGGCAGAAACCCAAUCAAACUGACUUAAAAGGAAUAGUUGGCAGGUGUGCCUGAGAGGAACUGAGAUGGGAAUACCAGUUGUAGGAAAGGUUUGAUCCAGCAGCUCACAUAUCACCAAAGACUCAGCUUUCUGUAUGCUGCCUCCCACUUUGCCGACUACAUCUUAAGGCCGGCUUCUCUGAUGGGCCCAGGUGGUAGGCAGCAGUCCCAGGGGUUCAGCCUCAGGAGUUUGCCCCUGCAGGAAAGAGAAAGUCAGCCACUCCAUUCCUCAACAACAGUCCUGAGAUUGAGUCUUUGGAUCUGAUUGGCUCACUAAGGAUUGUGGGCCUUCCUUGAUCAAGCUCUGUGUCCUGGAGAAUACGGUUUAUUUACUGGUGGGGGCAGUUAGCAAAUAUCACUUCACAAACUCCUCCCAAAGAGUUAAUCUGUGCCUGGCACAUGGUGGGCACUUUCUUCAUCCAUAAGUCAACAGCUAUUUAGUGAGCAACUACUAUGUGCAAGAAAUUAUGCUAGAUGCUGGUGAAAAGGCAGUGAACAAGAAGACAAGGUCCCUGCCCUCAUAGCCUAGCCGGGGUGACAGACGCCCAAACAACCGAAGACAGUACAAUGUCAUUUAGUGCCACAGGAGGUUACAUGAGCCCAGAGGAGAGACCCGAAAUUGUUCUUACGUGAAAGGGAUACAAGAUCAGGGAAAGCUUUAAACAAGAAGUGACAUUUAAAUUGAGAUUCAAGGGGGCACCUGGGUGGCUCAGUCGGUUAAGCAUCCGACUUCAGCUCAAGUUAUGAUCUCAUGGUUGGUGAGUUCAAACCUCUCGUUCGUUGGGCUCUGUGCUGACAGCUCAGAACCUGGAGCCUGCUUCAGAUUCUCUGUUUCCCUUUCUUUCUGCUCCUCCCCUGCUCACACUCUGUCUCUCUCAAAAAUUAAACAUUUAAAAAAUUUUUAAAAAGAGUCUUUUGUGUUUUGUCCUGCUCUGUUUUUAUAUUACUUUUGCUUUCCUUUCCUUAUGUUCAUCUGUUUUGUAUCUUAAAUUUCUCAUAUGAGUGAAGUCAUAUAUUUGUCUUUCUCUGACUAAUUUCGCUUAGCCUGAUACCCUCCAGUUCCAUCCACGUAGUUGCAAGUGGCAAGAUUUCAUUCUUUUUGGUUGCCGAAUAAUACUCCAUUGUAUAUAUAUACCACAUCUUCUUUAUCCAUUCAUCCAUCGAUGGACGUUUGGGCUCUUUCCAUACUUUGGCUAUUGUUGAUAGUGCUGCUAUAAACAUGGGGGUGUAUGUGCCCCUUCGAAACAGCACAACUGUCUCCCUUGGAUAAAUGCCUAGUAGUGCAAUUGCUGGGUCAUAGGGUAGUUCUAUUUUUAAUUUUUUGAGGAACUUCCAUACUGUUUUCCAAAGUGGCUGCACCAGUUUGCAUUCCCACCAACAACGCAAAGGAGAUCCUCUUUCUCUCCCUCCUCGCCAACAUCUGCUGUUGCCUGAAUUGUUAAUGUUAGCUGUUCUGACAGGUGUGAGGUGGUAUCUCAUUGUGGCUUUGAUUUAUGUUUCCCUGAUGAUGAGUGAGGUUGAACAUUUUUUCAUGUGUCGAUUGGCCAUCUGGAUGUCUUUGGAGAAGUGUCUAUUCAUGUCUUUUGUCGAUUUCUUCACUGGAUUAUUUGUUUUUUGGGGUGUUGAGUUUGCUAAGUUCUUUAUAGAUUUUGGAUACUAACCCUUUAUCUGAGAUGUCAUUUGCAAAUAUCUUCUCCCAUUCCAUUGGUUGCCUUUUGGUUUUGUUGAUUGCUUCCUUCACUGUGCAGAAGCUUUUUAUUUUGAUGAAGUCCCGAUAGUUCAUUUUUGCUUUUGUUUCCCUUGCCUCUGGAGACGUGUGGAGUAAGAAGUUGCUGUGGCUGAGGUCAAAGAGGUUUUUGCCUGCUUUCUCCUCUGGGAUUUUGAUGGCUUCCUGUCUUACGUUUAGGUCUUUCAUCUAUUUUGAGUUUGUUUUUGUGUCUGGUGUAAGAAAGUGGUCCAGGUUCGUUCUUCUGCAUGUCGCUGUCCAGUUUUCUCAACACCACUUGCUGAAGAGACUGUCUUUAUUCCACUGAUAUUCUUUCCUGCUUUGUCGAAGAUUAGUUGGCCAUACGUUUGAGGGUUCCUGUUCCUGUUUCUUAAUAGGGCCCAACCCCAGUUGAAGGGGGCAGAGGUGUGCUGAUCAGCCUUAAACGUCCAACAUGAGGCAGGAGCCAGAUCCUGCAGGGUCCGGUAGACCCUGUUAUGGAUCUUGAGAUAAAAGUGAGUCAUCGAAGUUGUUUUUUUAAAUUGUGGUAAAAUAUAUAUAACAUAAAGUUGACUUUUUUUUGUUUUUAACCUUAAGUAAGUCUCCACAUCCAGCAUGGGGCUUGAACUGACGACCCUGAGAUCAAGAGUCACAUGCUCCACUGAAUGAGCCAGCCAGGUGCCCCAAAGUUGAUCAUUUUUAAGGGUACAGUUCAGUGUUAAGUACAUUCACAGUGUGGCACAGCCAUCACCAUCCAUCUCCAGAACUCCUUCAUCUUCCGAAACUGAACCUCUGUCCCCGUUAAGCACUAACUCCCCAUCCCCUCUCCUUCUCAGCCUCUGGCAACUGCCAUCCUACUUUCUGUCUCUAUGAACUUGCCUGUUCCAGGUAACUCAUAAAAACACUGUAUGAUAUUUAAGCGUAUUUGUCCUUUUGUGUCUGCCUUCUUUCACUUAGCAUAAUGCCUUCAAUUCAUGCAUCAAGCGUCAGCAUUUCUUCGUGUUAAGGCUGAAUAAUCUUCCAUUGUAUGUACACACCACAUUUUGCUUACCCAUUCAUCCUUCCAUCACCGACGGGGUUUAAGUAGAGAUUUUAAACAUGAUCAGAUUUGCAGUUUAAAAGAUCACUUAGCUGCCAGGUGGAGGUUGGACCAAGGGUGGCGGAGGAACGGCGGGAAGUUGGCUGCAAAGGUCUAGGCCAGAGGCGAUGGGUGGUGGCGUAGAUGAGGCUGUGACCAGGAAAGAGGGGACAAUUAGACUGAAGGGCAGGUGGGAGAUUGUACAGGAUCUGGGGUUUGGAAAUUUGGCAUGAGAAGGAGGAAUUGUCAAAGAAUGUGGGGCUGACCUCAGUUUUCCUUAAGGACCCAGAUCUGAGGGAGUCCGCUGAGCUGAAGAUAAGAUGUCCUCUCCUCACAUGUCAGAGCUUCCUUCUCACCAGCCCUACCUUCUGGGGAACACAGACUGAGCCACCGAGAAACUUUCUCAUAAGCUGGCUUUCCCUGUGGCCUUCUAACAGAGAGAGGGCACGCCAACAGGGGAACAGAGGCACAGAGCAGUUCAAGAACCUUACCGAAGCUACACAGCCCUAAAUGGCAGACCUGGAAGGGAGGCCCAGCAGUCUGGCGGUAAGUGGUUAAGCGACCACUGUGCCACGCCGCCCCUCGAAAGCUAAUGCCAAGCGCCUAGAUUUGAGGCCUUUGUGACUACGAGCCCAGGGACAAAUGGGCCUCUUUGCUUUCCUGUCCCUGUGAUUGACUGUCUCUCCCAAAUAGUCAAACACCUCAAAGGAGUGAAGAGAUGUGUGAGGGAGGGAGAACCAGAACGGCAAGAGAAGAGGUGAGCAGAGGGGUAAUCACAGGCCUGGUUUCCCUGUCACCCGCCUCCCCACACCAGAAGCCCGGGGAGAGCAUCUCCUCUCCCAGGCUGGCUCUGGCCCUGCCCCUCGGACGAACAGGCCCUGUCCUGCCUGGAAGCUCAUCCCUUCCCAUCCCCGGUACGAGUCAGCUCUGCUCCUGGAGGUUAAGGGGACGGGGCCACCGUGUUUACCAGGACUCGAGCAGGACACACGUCUUUGGCUCCGUCACCCACAGGAGCGCUUGCUGCUGUUGGCAGACGGUUUUGAGUCCCUGCCCGGCUGCUCCCUGCUGUGAGGCCUGGGGCAACUUACUUGACCUCUCACCAGCCUCAAUUUCUCUGUAUAUUAAGUGGAGGUACUAAAAGUACAGGUAGGGAUUGAACGCAACAGUGUGGGUGAUGCAUUUGGCACUGUGGCCCUCAAAGCAGGGUAACUGGUAUGUCAUUAUCAUCAUCAUCAUCAUCAUCAUCAUCAUCAUCAUCAUCAUCCUGCCACCCUCAUCCUCUUCAGGGUCAUGGGAGGCUUGGAGAGAUGGGCUGAAAGGCAUUCAGAGUCUUGGCUGCCAGGAUGCCUUUCUAAUCAGCACCAACGUCAGACUCCAGCUAUUAAUACCCAGCCAGCCCCACCAGUCCGUAGAUUUAGCGUUCCAAAGAGGAGGUACAGAGGUGGAGAGGGCGGGUCUGGGGAACAGGUGGCUGAGGACUGGAGAAGGAGCCCUUUCUCUGUGGGAACAACCCUUCCCAGCCUCGCAGGCCGACUUGGCCUGUCCCCCAGACACCCUCCACCUGUGGUCUAGGGUCUGGGAAGGUGUGAAAUUCCUGCCUGAAGCUGAGCUGCAGGCAGUCAGACUGUCAGUCCCCUAAGGGCACAGCACUGUCCUUCCAGGAAUCCAAUGUCCCGAGUGAGCAGGGCCCCCCACUUGGGCCUCCAGAAAAGACAAACCAGCUCAUGGCAGUGUGGAACGUGAGGGCGGAGAGAGCCCCCGGAGCUCCCAAUCUCUCCUCCUGACUUAGAGCACAGCCUCCCAUACACAGCUGGGUGACGGGGCAGAUGGAUGCGCCCCAGCCUUAGUUUCCUCCUGUUCCCUGGGAAUAAUCAUUUUCAACCCUUUCGCACCAUAGAAACAUUUUCACUCGGCUGUGGAAAGAACAAAUGGAAUGAUUCACCUGGAGCACGGGGCUCAGUGCGCAGUAAGUGUGCGGUGAAGAGAGGCUGUUGGGAGCCCAGUUUCUUCAUCUUAUACAUGACUUCUCGUUCCUUCCUGCAUGAGCGGCGGCAGACUCAAGGAGCAAAGAUCUUCCGGGAAUUUCCCAGUCCCCCACCGGAGCUAAGAAUUCUAUCCAUGAAUGUUUCUUUGUUUUCUUAUACUGAUUAAAAAAAAAUUUUUUUUUAAUGUUUUAUUUAUUCUUGAGGGAAAGAGAGACAGAGUAUGAGCGGGGACGGGGCACAGAGAGAGGGAGACACAUAAUCCAAAGCAGGCUCCAGGCUCUGAGCCAUCAGCCCAGAGCCCGACGCGGGACUCGAACUCAUGAAUCAUGAGAUCAUGACCUGAGCCGAAGUCGGACGCUCAACCGACUGAGCCAUGCAGGCGCCCCUCUUAUACUGAUUUUUGAAAAAUGAAUAACCUAUUUUUCAUUUUUUAAUGUGUAUUUAUUUUGAGAGAGAGAGAGAGACAGAGAGAGAGAGCGUGAGCAGGGUAGAGGCAGAGAGAGGGAGAGAGAAUCCCGAACAGGUGCCACACUGUCAGCAGAGCCCGAUGUGGGGCUUGGCCCCACUAACGGUGAGAUCAUGACCUGAGCCGAAAUCGAGAGCCAGAUGCUUAAAUGACUGAGCCACCCAGGCACCCCUAAUAACCUAUUUUAAAAACAUUAUUUAUUUAUUAAAAUUGUUUUCAAUGUUUAUUAUUUAAUUUCAAGUGAGAGAGAGAGAGAGAGACAGAGAGAGAGAGAGAGAGAGACAGAAUGCGAAUGGGGGAGGAUUAUAGAGAGGGAGGGAGACACAGCAUCUGAAGCAGGCUCCAGGCUCCAAGCUGUCAGCACAGAACCUGAAGAUGCAGGGCUGGAACUCAUGAACUGUGAGAUCAUGACCUGAGCCGAAGUCAGAUGCUUAAGUGACUGAGCCACCCAGGCACCCCAAUAACCUAUUUUUUAGAGCAGUUUUACAUUCACAGCAAAAUUGAGCAGAAGGUGCAGACAGUCCCCAUAUAUCCCCUGUCUCCCCCAUCAAUAUCCACCACCAUCAACAUGAUGCACCAGUGUGGCAUAUUUUUACAAUCAAUGAACCCGCUUUGACAUGUCAUUAUUACCCAAAGUCCUUAGCUCACAUUACAGUUCACUCUUAGCAUGUAAGAGUUUCUAUAAAUGUAUAUGACAUGUAUCUACCAUUAUAGUAUUAUACAGAAUAUUUUUACUGCCCUAAAAAUUCCAUAUGCUUCACUUAUUCAUCUCUCCCUUUCCCCAAACCCCUGGAAACCACUGAACUUUUUACUGUCUCCAUAUUGCCUUCUUCAGGAUGUCAUAAGGUUGGAAUCACAUAAUAUAUAGUCUUUUCAGAUUGGUUUCUUUCACUUAGUAAUAUAAUAUGCCUUUAAAUUUCUUCCAUGUCUUUAUGAGUGGCUUGAUAGCUCGCUCUCUCUCUCUCUCUCUCUCUCUCUCUCUCUCACUCUCUCUCUCUCUUUGUGCUGAAUAAUAUUCCACUGUAUGGUUGUACCAUAGUUUAUUUAUCCAUUCACUUGCUGGAGGACAUUUGGUUGCUUUCAAGUUUUGGCAAUUAUGAGUAAAGCCUCUAUAAAUAUUUACAUGCAGGUUUUUGUGUGGGCAUAAGUUUUCAACUCAUUUGGGCACAUACUGAGGAACCUGAUUCCUGUAUCUUCUGGUAAGAGUAUGUUGAGUUUUAUAAGAAAUUGCCAAACUGGGUUCCAAAGUGGCUGUGCCAUUUUACCUCCCCCCAGAAUGAAUGAGAGUUCCUGUUUCUCCACAUCCUUGCCAGCAUUUGGUGAUGUCAGUGUUUUGAAUUUGGGUCAUUCUAAUGGACGUGUCAUGGUAUCUCAUUUUUGUUUUAAUUUUCAAUUCCCUAAUGACAUAUGAUGUUGAGCAUCUUUUCAUAUGCUUAUUUGCCAUCCAUAUGUCUUCUUUGGUGAGCUCUUCAGAUCUUCUGUCCGUGUUUUAAUUGAGUUGUUCAUUUUCUUAUUGUUGACUUUUAAGCGUUCUUUGCAGACGUUGGGUCACGGUUCUUUAUCAAACAUGUCUUUUGCAAAUAUUUCCUCCCAUCCAUGGCUUGUUUUCUCAUUCUCUGGAUUGAUUUUUAUUACUGAUUCUGUUUUUUUAUUCUUGCGAUUGAAAAAAAAGUAUUCUUAUAAGUAUGUGUUACAUGAAUAGAAUGUAGCUUGGUUUUGCCAGUGCCUUCCUUCAUCUAUGAAGGACCCCACUUUUGUCAGAUGUACCAGGCAGUCUGCAUGUUCAGUAUUGUGGCCCAGAGAGGGAGCGUAACUUGCUUGAGAUCGCACAGCAUGUUUGCUAAGAUGAUAUAUCCCUCUCAUGUGCUUAGCCUUCCCAGUAAUCAGAGAACUGUCUUCUUUGGUCUGUGUGAGACUCCUGGAAUGCUGCUUCUUUUUUCUUAACUUUAAACGAAUUAGGUAGACCGUCAGGUGACAAUAGCAGGUAUUUUUCAUAAAGGAAAAAAGAAAUUAAAAAGGCCUCAUCAUCAUGCCACCUCAAUAAAUCUUUUUCACUUUUCUGACAGUUUUGUCCGUCCGUCUAGCAAAGGCUGGGACGAGGUGUGCACAAAACUGUCAUAGUGAUCAUCGUGGUUUCUUCUUUUUUAUGUUACCUUUUCCCAGGUUUUAGUUUGCAAAAUGAUAUUUGAGAAUGGCUGCUUAAUAUAUUUUUUAAC